AGAAGUGUGCCCGAGACAAGGGCUAUUUUGAUGAAAUAGACACAGAGCAACAAACUCUCACUUCCA
rnacentral:tRNA from 1 species